rfam:Nicotiana sylvestris Nsyl_contig78714, whole genome shotgun sequence.
UGGACAGAUUAUUGUAUUCAAUUGUAUUCACGGCAUGAAAUAGGGGAUUAUACUGUUUUUAAAACGGAAAGUGAAUCAAUUAACAUAAUAGACUCCU